UUUCUCCUCCCUCCGUCCAACAAAGAAUGUCUCAAUUUUGACUAAAUUUGAAUGCAUCUAUACAAUAAGUCAUGUCUAGAUACAUCCAAAUUUUGACAACUUGAGCUAUCUUUUGUUGGACGGAGGUAGUAUAUA
rfam:Brachypodium distachyon strain Bd21 chromosome 4, whole genome shotgun sequence.